CUAGUAACGGCGAGUGAAGCGGCAACAGCUCAAAUUUGAAAUCUGGCGUCUUUGGCGUCCGAGUUGUAAUUUGCAGAGGGCGCUUUGGCAUUGGCAGCGGUCCAAGUUCCUUGGAACAGGACGUCACAGAGGGUGAGAAUCCCGUACGUGGUCGCUAGCCUUUACCGUGUAAAGCCCCUUCGACGAGUCGAGUUGUUUGGGAAUGCAGCUCUAAAUGGGAGGUAAAUUUCUUCUAAAGCUAAAUACUGGCCAGAGACCGAUAGCGCACAAGUAGAGUGAUCGAAAGAUGAAAAGCACUUUGGAAAGAGAGUUAAAAAGCACGUGAAAUUGUUGAAAGGGAAGCGCUUGCAGCCAGACUUGCCUGUAGUUGCUCAUCCGGGUUUCUACCCGGUGCACUCUUCUAUAGGCAGGCCAGCAUCAGUUUGGGCGGUUGGAUAAAGGUCUCUGUCAUGUACCUCCUUUCGGGGAGAACUUAUAGGGGAGACGACAUGCAACCAGCCUGGACUGAGGUCCGCGCAUCUGCUAGGAUGCUGGCGUAAUGGCUGUAAGCGGCCCGUCUUGAAACACGGACCAAGGAGUCUAACAUCUAUGCGAGUGUUUGGGUGUCAAGCCCGAGCGCGUAAUGAAAGUGAACGGAGGUGGGAACCUUUCGGGGUGCACCAUCGACCGAUCCUGAUGUCUUCGGAUGGAUUUGAGUAAGAGCAUAGCUGUUGGGACCCGAAAGAUGGUGAACUAUGCUUGAAUAGGGUGAAGCCAGAGGAAACUCUGGUGGAGGCUCGCAGCGGUUCUGACGUGCAAAUCGAUCGUCAAAUUUGGGCAUAGGGGCGAAAGACUAAUCGAACUAUCUAGUAGCUGGUUCCUGCCGAAGUUUCCCUCAGGAUAGCAGUAACGUUUUCAGUUUUAUGAGGUAAAGCGAAUGAUUAGAGGCAUGGGGGUUGAAACAACCUU
rnacentral:rRNA from 1 species